CUGAGGGCGCGAAUACGGAAGAAAACCGCGCCACUCGCCGACCCUUAUUCCUGCGCGGGGAGCUCAGCUUCUCGGCCAGCGUACCUUCUAGGAAGCUCGGAGGCUUCGCAACUCUCUGGUCCGUUUAAUAGAUAAGGGGCCUCCGUCUCACGCACCCCUGGUCGAAGCCAAUCAACUGCCGCAGAGGGUCCCGGUUGGGGCACGUGACUUUCAGGCCCCGCCCGGCCGGUUCCCGCCCAGCCAAGCAGUUCGGAAUCUCUAUCAAGAAUCACCCGGAGGCUUUGAAAACUCUAACGGCGAGACCUUCCCCUCCCACACCAGUUGAAGCAGAAUGCGUUAAGAUGGGCCCUUGUGCAAUUGCCUCCCUGAGUCAAUCAUGGUCCAGAAACAGACGAUCCUUCUGACAUAUCCUGAGAAGGUGGAUAGUAGCCUAACGCUACCUCACAAUGCCUACAUAAUACCCCUCACUUUAUCUCAUCAUAGAAGCAUUUUAUCAUCUCACAUCAUCACAAGAAGAAGGGCGUGUCUCCUGAUAAAAUCCUUGCAUGUUUCAUCACAUCUUGGCAUCUGCUUCUUGGAGGACCUGGACUAACAUCACAGAAAGAGCAAUUUUCCAAAAGCCCACACUCGCAAAAGGAAAAGUCUAAGCUAUUCCAUGUACCGUUAGCCUGUUCUCUACUCUGUGGGGAGACUGAAAGCUGAAUCAUGUCUAUUUCCACAUAAUAAGAGGAACUCUUGGUCCUGGAUGAUGGAAUUAUUCCCCUAGUUUCACCCCCUUUCACCUCGGGCACCAUCAAGCCAGUGCAUAGCAGGGAAGACUAUUUACUGACUCCUGUCCUUCCAGGAGUAGUAUAUUGUUGAAUUUGACGGACCAGAAGAGGGAACUGGCUUAUUUGCUACCAUCAUGAGAAUUCAGGUUAAUUUUGCUAUUACAAUCCCAUCAUCACACUCUUGCAAACCAGGGGAUAAGAGCAGCCAAUGAGUAUGCUGGAAAGAACAGAUACUGUCUCCUAAUAUUGAGUAAUCUCUUUGAAGCCUGAUUGUUUAGUUUCUCACUCGCCAGAGUUAGACGGCUCUGUCCUUUGCACAUGCCCCAUUUUUAGAGGGCCUACUUCCAUUACCCCAAGAACUGAGGUCUUAAAGAAUAUGGGCAAUGCUAUAGACAGCAGUGUUAGGUACUGUAAGUCUGCACCAACGCACUCAUGAACUGUUUUGUAGAUGCUCCGUUUGUGUGCCAAAUUUGACCUCUCCGGUGUCCAUGCUAAUUAGUCUUGACCAGGCCACUUAGAUCCAAAAUCCUCUUUCCAAGAUGUUUUAUGUUGCAAUUCUUCAUCUCAGGGUCAUGAGUUCAAGCUCCACAUUGGGCGUGGAGAUUACUUAAACAAAUAAAUAAACUUUAAAAAAAUGUCUUUAUGAACAUGUUCUCUUUGUACCUGAGAGGAUGCAUUUGAUUAGGGAUUCUGAGAAGCCUGGGAUUAUGAUUUUGGAUCUAAAGAUGCCGAUAAUCUGGGACAAGUUAACUUCAUUUUCCUGGACGUUGCUUCUAAUUCAUAUCUUCCCCCUUAUAUCACUCACUGGGAGUCUCUCAUAGAUGUGGGGAAACCUCAUGUUGUUAAGAAACAUCACAAUGGGGGCGCCUGGGUGGCUCAGUCGGUUGGCGGCCGACUUCGGCUCAGGUCAUGAUCUCGCGGUCUGUGAGUUCGAGCCCCACGUCGGGCUCUGUGCUGACAGCUCGGAGCCUGGAGCCUGUUUCAGAUUUUGUGUCUCCCUCUCUCUGACCCUCCCCCGCUCAUGCUCUGUCUCAAAAAU